rnacentral:rRNA from 1 species
GAUGAACGCUGGCGGCGUGCCUAAUACAUGCAAGUCGAGCGAACAGACGAGGAGCUUGCUCCUCUGACGUUAGCGGCGGACGGGUGAGUAACACGUGGAUAACCUACCUAUAAGACUGGGAUAACUUCGGGAAACCGGAGCUAAUACCGGAUAAUAUAUUGAACCGCAUGGUUCAAUAGUGAAAGACGGUUUUGCUGUCACUUAUAGAUGGAUCCGCGCCGCAUUAGCUAGUUGGUAAGGUAACGGCUUACCAAGGCAACGAUGCGUAGCCGACCUGAGAGGGGGAUCGGCCCCGCUGGAACUGAGACACGUCCCAGACCCCUACGGGGGGCAGCGGUAGGAAAUCUUCCGCAAGGGGGGAAAGCCUGACGGGGCAACGCCGCGGGAGUGAUGAAGGGCUUCGGAUCGUAAAACUCUUUUAUUAGGGAAGAACAAAUGUGUAAGUAACUAUGCGCGUCUUGGCGGUACCUAAUCAGAAAGCCCCGGCUAACUACGG